rnacentral:rRNA from 1 species
AUACGUAGGGUGCAAGCGUUAAUCGGAAUUACUGGGCGUAAAGCGUGCGCAGGCGGUUUUGUAAGACAGUGGUGAAAUCCCCGGGCUCAACCUGGGAACUGCCAUUGUGACUGCAAGGCUGGAGUGCGGCAGAGGGGGGUGGAAUUCCGCGUGUAGCAGUGAAAUGCGUAGAUAUGCGGAGGAACACCGAUGGCGAAGGCAAUCCACUGGGCCGGCACUGACGCUCAUGCACGAAAGCGUGGGGAGCAAACAGGAUUAGAUACCCUGGUAGUCCACGCCCUAAACGAUGUCAACUGGUUGUUGGGGAUUUAUUUUCUCAGUAACGAAGCUAACGCGUGAAGUUGACCGCCUGGGGAGUACGGCCGCAAGGUUAAAACUCAAAUGAAUUGACGGGG